rnacentral:lncRNA from 1 species
AUCAAUGCCUGGAAGAUGAAUCGGAACAUUUGAGGAAAGUCACCGAGGAGGUGGAAAGGUUGCGGGCAUGAAGCACCCAAGCCCUGAGAAGAGAAUCCUCUCAUUAUGGAGGCUGAUCUGAAGAAUCUAUCAGCACAAAACUAAGACAUCAUAGUGGAUUCAGAGCCAAGCAGAUCAUAUCUAAAAUGAGGACAUUCCUGGCUUACAACAGACUCUCCUGCCAGAUGGACAAUGCACAAGGCAUUUGAAAUAUUUUCUUUCACAAAACAAAUAAACAAAAAUCAACCAGGGUUUUAUCAUCCUACCUACAAUGAAUGCAAAAAAGUCUGGUUAAACAGCUCAGAUUUAUGGUGGAGCUCCUGAGGCCUCUCCCAGUUAAAUAUUCUUUGCUUGUUUUGUGGAUUCCAGGAAAUCCACACCCUGAUCAACUGGAACAUUCAAGCCACAUCAAGAUGGAUGGGCUUUUGAGAAUGACCAAGAAAAUAGUCUCUGAUCACUUGAUUCUUAUAUUCAUCAAAGGAUGUUUGCUUUCAGAAGAAUUAUUAUGUUUCCAGCUUGCUUGCCUUGGGGAAUGUCAAUUAAGUCCAAAUUAUUUGAUGACAGAGAUUUUGCCAUUUUUAGAGACCGGCAUCAGGCUUAAGGAGAGAAGGUUUUUCUCUACAUCCUUUUGAAGGGUUUACUGAAUUCUACAUCACCAAGAACAUGGUCAUCUGGUUGUCAUCGUGAUUAAACAAAGGAAAGAUUGGGAAGCAUCUCAGUAGGCAACAAGCAGGAGAAUCAGCAGCUCUGGACCCACCCAGGCCACACAGGGUGAAGAAGACACUUCCACGAACUCAUUCACUCCCACACAGGACCAGACAGACAAGCAGAGGAGGAAACGACUUGCUCUCUCUCCUCUUCUGGAGAAAACAGCCAAGUUUUCAGAGACACUUUCAAAGGAGUUGUUUGGUUGAUGACUG